CCUACGGGAGGCAGCAGUCGAGAAUCAUUCACAAUGGGGGAAACCCUGAUGGUGCGACGCCGCGUGGGGGAAUGAAGGUCUUCGGAUUGUAAACCCCUGUCAUGUGGGAGCAAAUUAAAAAGAUAGUACCACAAGAGGAAGAGACGGCUAACUCUGUGCCAGCAGCCGCGGUAAUACAGAGGUCUCAAGCGUUGUUCGGAAUCACUGGGCGUAAAGCGUGCGUAGGCUGUUUCGUAAGUCGUGUGUGAAAGGCGCGGGCUCAACCCGCGGACGGCACAUGAUACUGCGGGACUAGAGUAAGGGAGGGGGAACCGGAAUUCUCGGUGUAGCAGUGAAAUGCGUAGAUAUCGAGAGGAACACUCGUGGCGAAGGCGGGUUCCUGGACAUUAACUGACGCUGAGGCACGAAGGCCAGGGGAGCGAAAGGGAUUAGAUACCCCAGUAGUC
rnacentral:rRNA from 1 species